CACUCGGUCCACAAUUUGGGUUUCCGUGGCAGCCGAGGCUUCCUCACUCCGUACAGCGGCACCAGCGGGUUCCGCGGAGAAGGCAACAGUGUCAAAUGUCUUGCAAAUGCCAGGUCUGGGACGGCGGAGCCCUUUCUGUAGGGCUUCAAUUGUUGCGUCAUAGGAGGCUCGGACACAUGAGAGUGUAACGCCCAGCUGCGUCAAAGCGGGGAACACAUCUGCGCUGCAUAUGGUGCAUACCGCUGCGGCGGCAAGCAACUCCGAAAGCUUUCUUUGGGCUUCCGCAUCAUGCUGGGGGCCCCAGCCGUGGUCACGGUGCAUUUCGUCGGUCAUGCGUUGCAAUUUUGUCCACGCGCAUCCUGCCGGAUCCUCUGGUGCGAAGGGCAUUCCAGAAUUGCCGCAACUCGCGCCCGCUUCGAAGGGUUCCGAGGAAUGGUCAGCUGCGGAUGGUCUUGGUUGUGCCUCUGAUCCUCUUGCGUCUUCUGCUUCAGCUGAGGCCGUUGUAGAGCAGCAAAUGAAGAUGACGAUGAACAAGCACUGAGAGUGAAUUUCGGGAGAUCGAAGAAGUACUGCGCAGACAUGCGGUUUUGCCUGUCUGAAUGUUUUUUUCACUUUUUUGUGAGCGUGUGGUCCGUACCUGUGGUCUUGGAAGACAUUAGCAAUGGACUCUGUCUCCUUUCUGGAGCAUUUGCGCAGUGAACUUGAUGGGGAAUGUACGAGGGCGCGCUGUCUGUGAAGGCCGUCGGCACAUCGGAUCCUGUCUUCGUGCACUCUAACGAAUGCAGUGGAGCAGCGGCCCCUUGCUUCAUUCCAGAGUCGUUGUUGCGCGCUUGACUCACGAAAACGGUGCUAGCGCAUCCUGUACGCGACUCCUCAGUUGUUUUGCUUGUUGUCGGGGAGGCAGCAGCCGUCAGCACUGCUGCUUGUUCUUCGUGACCCCAGUGAAAACGUUUGCUACCUGCGGGUGACGACGAGCCACUGGUGGCUUCACCAGCUCCAUGAUUAUUGCGAGCGAAACCUUCCCGCCCUUGUUGAUAAUGAUGGUGGGCGCAGUACUGCACACUCGGGGUGGUGUGCUCCGGAUUUGCCCUCGGCAGGGGAAAACCAAGCUCAAGCGGCGAACAGGCCGGCUUUGUCGAGAUCGGAGAGGCAGCGACUGGGGAGAUGGCAUCGCUUUCAUUCGAUUUCUUUAUUGAGGCCGGCUGGGGGGUAUCGGUUCUGCUGGUCUCCUCGUUCAGGAUAACGUGGUUUACUAGCGACAAGUUGCUGCGGUUCACCCGGACUGAUGUUGGUGUUGCGAGCAGUUCGUUUGUCGAAUCACGUCUCUGUAUGGAAAUGGUUUCGUAGGCAUCAUACGAGACCGGAACCACAUCAUGACCUAGCGUGGUGGUCGGCAGAGCAGCAUUUGAGUUCGGUUUGUCAGCUUCUGACUGUUGGUUGACUACGAGGGUACUAAGGGGCGGCGGGACUGCUUCCGCAGGUGUUGGGACUCUUGUCUCCAUCCGCUGUUGAAGUAGUUGCUGCUGCAACUGUUGGAGCACCGCAACUUGCUCUUCAUGCUGCCGAGUUUUACUGGAUUGUUGCUGGAAUCUCUGUAGUUCUCGUUGUUGCCGAAGAGCUUUCAGCUUCAGUUGCUGGUAUCUUUCGUCCGCGGCAGCACCCACAAAAACUCCGCUCCGCGCGGUCCUGGCACUACUAGAAACACAAGUGCUGCAAGCAGUCCUA
rnacentral:lncRNA from 1 species